UCCCAGGUGGCUCAGUGGUAAAGAAUCUGCCUGCAAUGCAGGAGACCCAGGUUCUAUCCCCAGGUUGGGAA
rnacentral:tRNA from 1 species